UACGGGGGGGGGCAAGCGUUGUUCGGAAUUACUGGGCGUAAAGGGCUCGUAGGCGGCCAACUAAGUCAGACGUGAAAUCCCUCGGCUUAACCGGGGAACUGCAUCUGAUACUGGAUGGCUUGAGUUCGGGAGAGGGAUGCGGAAUUCCGGGUGGAGCGGUGAAAUGCGUAGAGAUCCGGAGGAACACCGACGGCGUAGGCAGCGCCCUGGCCGUUUCCUGACGCUGAAGCGACGAAAGCUGGGGGAGCGAAACAGG
rnacentral:rRNA from 1 species